rnacentral:rRNA from 1 species
UACGAAGGGGGCUAGCGUUGCUCGGAAUCACUGGGCGUAAAGCGCACGUAGGCGGAUUGUUAAGUCAGGGGUGAAAUCCCGGAGCUCAACUCCGGAACUGCCUUUGAUACUGGCGAUCUUGAGUCCGGGAGAGGUGAGUGGAACUGCGAGUGUAGAGGUGAAAUUCGUAGAUAUUCGCAAGAACACCAGUGGCGAAGGCGGCUCACUGGCCCGGUACUGACGCUGAGGUGCGAAAGCGUGGGGAGCAAACAGG